AAAUGUAAAGGGAAGCAAUAGCUGGAGAGAGGGGUGAGCCGGCAGGUAGGAUCCCUCGCCCCACCCCUGCAGAGGCAGCUGGGCUCUUUGGGAUGGCGUUUGCAGCAGCGAUGCCGCUGGGACCCCGUGGAUGGCCACAAGCACCCAUGGAAUGAGGCUGUGAGAAGGCUGCAGAGUGAAGCUGAAGGUCUGAGACUUUCCCUUUGCUAAGGUAAAAAGUACAUUUUUAGGAUGCUUUUCACGCAUGAUCACGCUUCUGACAUGGCCACUGAGGAUUAGAUGUUUCAGCGAUGACUCAGAGGAAAAAGUCUGCGGACUGUUGUCUGAGACAGCUGCAGCACCGGCUGGGAUGUUUGGGUAGCAAAGGCUGCAGCAGGCACCUGGGAGGUGGCAGAGAGGACAAGAGAUGGCCAGGAGGAGCUGCUGCUCUGUUAGCAGUACACAGCGCAUGAAGAAGCUGGUGUGGGUCGCUCCUACUUCAGUGAAAUCGUCCUGGGAAUUGAAGGAGCUGAGCUCUUCCCUAGCCUGCUUUGUGAAGUGGAGACUGAGAAACUAUACUGUGAAAAAUGAAGUUGUGGGGCUGUAGCAGUGACACAUUCCUGCUCCCACCCUGCACUGAAAACCCUGCCUGCUGACCUCAGGCUGAGCCCACGGAGAGGCAGAGGAAAGCUGCCGGGGACUGUGUGCCCAGGCACUUUCUGCACCAUGCAGCCAUGAACGUCCAAGCGCUGCCUGCAGGGAUAAUCUUCAUCCGUGGCAAUUACUUACAAAUGAGUGGGUUUUAAUUGCUUUUGUUGCUUUCCGCUUUUUCUUCACUGAUUUUUCCACAAUGCUUCAGCAGGAAACACCCCACACAUCAGGACCAGUCCUUGUAGCAUCAUCCACGUAGCAAACUCCUGGGCCGCUGAAGCAGGGCACCAUUUGAAAGGCUUCUUCUUUGCCGGAAUGAUGGAAUGACUAUUAAUAUAGUGCUCUGGGAAAAAGCUUGGGAGCCCAAGUAUGUACACUGACGGGGCAGCUGCUGGAAACAUCACCUGUAGUGGAAGAGGUCUCUGUACAUUGCAGCUACCUGCUUCUGGCUCCCCUGAGGAGGGGACUGUGAUGCUUGGGAUGAUUCUCAUGGGUGAAAGCUGGAAACGGGCACAAGCCCGGACCCAAAGACCUCCGAAGCUGGAGGAGGAAGGAGACGGAAGGAGAAGGAUGGCACCUACUCAAAACACACUGGAAGCUACUGACCAACUGAAGUGCAGUGCUGCUGCGUUGUCCCCACCUGCAUGCCUUUCACUGGGCUGUUUGGAGGCACUGUGUUUCUGUACAACGUUUUGCGGGUCCUGGGUGACUCUGCAGGAUGUCAUUUAUUUUCCUCCCAACCCUGGGAUGUCCCCACUGAGCCUGAGGCGACGCAGGGCACUGCCCGGGACUCUUACUGCUCCAGUGCCCAGUGUGUUUUCUACUGUGCGGGAUGCAACAACAGAGGAAACUCCCAGGAUUAUGUCUUAAGGUCAAUUCUGUUUCCAGUUGACCAUUCCUGCCCUGUUUCCAAAAGGCUGAAGCCCAUUAAACCCCCACGAAGGGCUUGGGAGCUGCACCCUGUGCUGGACAACACUGCGUGAGUGCAUCCCCCUCCCUGUAAUCCCCUGUUUUGUAUCUGUCACUGGUACUCUGACACCAGUGGGUAAGAUGGAGGAAUGUGGCACCACAAGGACUUUGGAGGCCUGUGACGGACACAGCUGGUGACACCGAUGAGGCCCCACAGCCUGGAAUGCUGUAUAUUUCAUAUCAUCAGGAGAUCUGAAACUUACCGACCCAUACAGCUCGCCUCUCUCGUUCAUGCCGAGGUAGAGUCCCGAAUCCACCCCACGGAUACUAACCAGCCCCACCGCCAGGCUGAUAAACUCCAAAAUCCCUAAAACAGAAAAGGAAUGCAAAUCAUACAGGUGACAAAACUGACACCAGGCUCAAGUGACAAACAUGAAACAGCACUUCCCAAACACAGAGCUUCUCACAGACCUUGCUUGUUUUAUUUAUAACUGCACAGUUCUUAAAUCUCUAGUCCUACACGCAUGCAAUCCUUCAAUUUCCACUCCAGACUUCUCCCCAGCAUUAUGAACUUGACUUGUCCGAGGGAAAUGACCUUUCCUAAUGAGAAAAGGAGUGCUAGGUGUAGCUGUUGCUUUUAUUUUUUUUAAUCACCAAAAAGAGAGAUGGAGAAACGUGUGUGCCUGGCCCACUAGCAGUUUUACAAGACUCUUACCACACUGGGUCUGUCUUCUUCACCA